AUUUAUUAUUUCUAUUGCUUGAAUGCCUCGUAUCAUUUAAAUCGGACAGUUACUUACAGCGAUCUGUCAUUUGAACAAACACAUGAAGUAGGAUCAGGAUCUGGGAUUUCAUACAUUGUAUAACCCCGACCAAGUGCAACACGUCUCUUACCAUCUGGGGUAAUAUCUAACUGUCCUCUAAAAUAUUUUCAAUAAAUAUUAAUCCAUAUAACAAUAUAUGAUGUAUGUACAUUUUACUUAACAUUGAACAAUACCUUGUCCACAAUGUGUUCGUACUUGCAUAAGGCUCUGCAUUUUCAUAUGGAUUAUAUGUAUAUGGGUCAGAAGGAUAUGGAUACAAUAAAUCAUUAUCUGCCGUA